CCUACCAUUUGACUUCUAGCAGGAAGUAUUUUUAAAGGGUAUUUUUCUCCCUUGCUGGCCAGUUCCUCAUUGAGAAACUCUCUUUUGUGACACUUGGACGUCUUAGCUCCCAAAGUGAUGAUGGGACUUUUUUUUUAAAUUUCCACUUCCAGGUUUGGAUUCACUUCUUCAUUCAUCUGGAAGAGCAGAAAGGAUUUCCAAAUGCUUACCAAACAUCUCCUCUGAGCACAGAAGGCUGGCCUUGUCCCAGACCCUGACUGUCACCUCUCGGAACCACAGGACGGGAUGUUUCCACCUCCUCUUCCUCUGCCCAUCCCCGACUCACGCACUCAGCGCAGUUUAUCAGCCCCUCCAUGUACCCCCAUACGUUAUGAAGCAACAUGAUAAAAUCUCCUGUUGGGUUUGGUAAGAAAUAGAAUGUAACCUGAUGUUGAAACCAUAGUGGGCUUCAGAGCUGAAUGGGCCCACGAUGAUGCUGGAAACUUCCUUACUCCCUGCCCUUCCUGGGGACCAAGAAAACAGAAACCAUGACCUGUUAUGGUGGCCCAUGGACAGAGUCCCUCAAGUCCCUUAUACUGCACAUUUACCCUAUCACCAAGCUGUUAGGCCCUCUGUGCUUCAGUCCUUUCGAUGACUACAGGGUAUAAGCUCCUGCUUACUCGGCUAGCCUCACCUCCUUUUCCUUUACUCAAUCUCCGUGCCAGACAACAUCAUCCUUCCUUUGCUUAUGCUGUUUCGUCUUCCUGGAAUGCCUUUCUCCCUCAGGCUUUCUCUGGCCAGCUCCUACUUAAGUUGGAAAACAGAGCUCAGACUCACCCUGAGCAUCAUUUCCUGAGCCCCAAGCUAUGCUGCACCCCUUUGGAGCCCCAUGCUUCCCUCCACCUCAAUCUUUACCACCUUGUGUUGAAAACAUCUGCUCUCUGGCCUACUUCCCACAGUAAACUCUGAGGUCUGGGAAGACCUUGUCUGGCUCCUCCCUGAUUCCUCGAGCCCAGCACAGGGCCUGACAUAUAAUGGGUGCUCCAGGGACCACUUUCUGGAAUCUGGCUCAAUAUGCUUCAUUCGCCCUCAUCCUCAUGUGAAUUGGCGCAGCCCCUGCACCAGAGAAACAGGAACUUGGAGAUAAGUACAAAGAGACCCAAUCCCCUCAGCCCACAGGCUCUCCCACCUUUUGUGGUGGGUUGUGAAACAGAGAGAGGGCAGCCUAGAGUGGGGCCCCAUAAGCUGUUAGGGGUGGGAGCCCCUGGGGCAAGACGGUUCCAGCAAGGAAGCAGGUGGCCCAUGUGCUGUAGGCUUCAUGGGUCCAAAACCAUCCAUCCCACCAGGAAUCCCAGCAGUAGAUCAACUUUCCUUUAGCUCUAAUCUCUCCCCUGAUUAGAAUGGAAAGCCCCAUGGUGUGGACGUCUAAGCUGUCUUUAUCUCUACAGCUUUCUUUAUAAUCACAAGUGAUAUACCAGAACCUGUGCCCAAGAUCUCAUUUAAUUUCAUAACAACUCCCCAGUUUAAAGAUGAGGAAACUAAGAAAAAUUAAGUUGCCCAAGAUCACACAUCUCAGAAACGGUAGAGCUGGAAUCCAAGCCCAGGUCUCUCUGGCCCCCUGGCCCUUUGACUUUGACCCAAAAGGUUAAAUGGUCUGCUUGAACAAGGGGUCAGUUCCCUGGACAGGAACCAGGAGACCCCCCCCCCCAUGUGACUGUGGCCUGGUCACAAUCAUUCUGACCCUUGAUUUUCUCAUCAUUUCCCUCUAAGCCCAAGUCUACACUUGACGCACGACACAUUUAGCAUCACUUUCCCUACAGAGCCUCUCCCAACUGUUCCAUGUCAUAGGCAAUGGAGAACUAAGCAGUCCGUCCUUUGUGCUCCCAUUGGCCCCUUGGUCCCAGCACCCAGGUAUCAGUUAGUUAUCACUGUGUAACAAACCACUCCCAAACUCAAUGGCUUCAAACCAGUAAUCAGAAAACAUUGUCUUGAAGAGCUAGAUAGUAAACAUUUUAGGCUUUGCAGAUCAGUCUCCUUUGCAACUGCUCAGCUCUGCCUUUGUAGCUCAAAAGAAACUAUAAACAAUACACAAAUAAACAGGUGUGCCUGUAUUCUAAUCAAACUUUAUUUACAAAAACAAGGAGCUGGCAGGCUCACAGGCCAUAGUUUGCCAAUCCCUGCUUUGAGCAAUAAGCAUUUAUCAUUACUCAUGAGUCUAUGAGUUGCCUGAACCAAUCUGCUCACCUGGGCCAGAAUCCACUGAUCUUGGCUGAGCUCACUUGGGCAUCUGUGGUCAACUGGCCAGAUGCCUAGUGGUUAGCUUGUCUAAGGUGCUUAUUUGCAAACUUAAGAGUUGGCCUGCUAUCAGCAAAGGUGACAGAUAACUGGGCCAUGUGUCUCUCUUCGUCAAGGAGGCUAGCCUGGGUUUAUUCUCCUAGAAGCUCUACAGGGUUCCUAGAAAUGGUGGAGGCACGCAAGGCCAAUUGAGUUCUAGGCUUAAAACUGGUCCACCAACACUGGCAUCACAUUUUGUUGACAAAGCACACCACAAGACCAGCCCAGAUCUAAGGCGUAGGGAAACAGCCUAGGUCUCUUGAUAGCAGGAGCUAGGAAGUAACAUCAAAAAGCAUAUGGAUGUAGCACAGGCCAAAGAAUUGUGGCCAUUUCCACAGUCAUUCCGCCAUAGCCAGUUGCACUUGUGUGUAUGUAUUUGUUACAUGUGUGCCUCCCUCUUUUUAGACUCUAAGCCCCUUAAAGAUGAGUUUCUAUGUCUUAUUCAUCUUUGUAUCUCAGUGCCUAUCACAGUUCCUAGAAGAGUCUGUUUCACCUGCCAAAGGGCCCUCAAAUCCAUUCAUCUCCAUCACCACCACCUCCCCCUUGGUCCAAGGUAUUGUCAGUUCUCACUUGGCCCACCGCCACAGCCUCCUGACUGCUGAGGGGUGGUUAAUAUUUUCUAGGCCUUGGGAACAAGUUCAUAUCCAUUGGAGCAGGAGAACAGGCAAUUGCAGAACACCGAGCACCUGGGAGGGGAGGUUGGCGGCUUCUGCUAAUACAGGAGACUAGGCAGGAAGAGAAGUCUGGGGACGCUGAUGCUCCGGUCAUGACUCUGGUCAGUGUUGGUCCCGGGGAAGCUCCUAACGAGACAGCCGGGGUCAAGAACGGCAGGAAAGUCCAAGACGUCUGGCGCAGGGAAUGAACGGUGGGUCAUCCCAAAGAACAACAAGACGGACAUGACAGCGCGCUGUGAGUUACCCAACAAUGCCCAAAAUCAGGGGGCUGCAGGAUGGGGCAACUCCAGGCGUGAAGAAUGUGGCCACGGAAAUGCCCAAGGCUUGCUCAGGGGGUAGCUCUUACAGAAUGGCUGUCCCCAUCCAGAGGUCACCUUGUUUAUGCAAUGAUCGACUCCUGCUGAAACCCGAGAGGCUGCCGUCUGCCCUCCGAGCAGGCCCAGACGCCGCUGUCCUAUUCGCUUCAUUGGCUUCAGAUCCCGUGAGUACAGAAUAAAAACGAAGACAACUGUGGAUACGGUAACAGAAAUCACUUCCAUGGCAGCCGCCACCGUUCACGAAGGCUGCUCAUCCUGCCAGUAUUUCCUGCGCUCCUGCCUCCUGGCCGCCCACCCAGGCCUGCUUCCAGCCACUCUCUCUUCCACACUGGAAGUCAUCUGACAGUUGCCACGUGGGAAUGCCAGCCCACUGUUCCCAGAUGUUCUGAUUUUCACCAGAAGCUGGACAUGCCAUUUGUGACAACAUGGAUGGACCUUGACGACAUUAUGCUGAGUGAAAUAAGUCAGACAGAGAAAGAAGACAAAUACUGAGUGAGUUCACUUAUAUGUGGAAUCCAAAAAAAACCAAGCUCAGAGAUACAAAGAACAGAUUGGUGAUUGCAAGGCAGGGGGUGGGGAGUGGGCGAAAUGGGUGGAGGGAGUCAAAAUGGAUUUACUGUAAAAAAUCUUGAAUUAAAAAAAGAUGGUAACUAUUUGAUCUGUUAAUCUUAUCAAACUCUAUAAAGUUAAACAAAGCAGGUCUUCAAGCCAAGGCUAGCCCAGUGGCUGCCAUUUUGGUGUCUACAGGCCAGAUAACCUCUCAGGGCCUCUCAGUCCUGAAGGGCGGUCCUGAAGGAGCCUCCAAGACACUGCCCCUCCACCCCUGAUGCCCCCUUUGCCUGUUUCUGAGAAAACAGAUCUUUCAGGUCCCCUUUUCGGUUCCUUCCCCCACGUGCGUCACUAACCUAUGAGGCCUCAGAGGGUGCCCCGUGGAGGGCUGGGCCUCCUGGAACCCUAGAGAAAGGCGUCUUGGCAAGUUCUCCUUGCAUUUCCAGGAGCCUCUGCGCCUCUCAGUUCCCAGUUCCAGUGUGUGACGGUUGAUUUCCUACGCUGACCUCACUCCCCACUGCGCCAGGCAGAGAGGGUUAAUGAAAUAAUCAUUUCAGCCACAACGUGGGAGAGCAGGUGCGAAAACCAAGGCUGAGCUGACAGCCAGAGUGUGUUAAGAGCCGUCCACAUGCACGGCAUUGUUCAGAGCAUGGCGUAGGACCUACUUAAUUUUUGUGGCUGCCCUAUAAGGUAGGUCCUCUUAUCAUUAUCAUUCUGCAGAUGAGAACACUGAGGUUCCAGGAGGUUAAGUAACCUGCCCAGGGUCACCCAACUAGUAAGUAGCACUGCUGGGACUCAGAUGGUCUGGCUCGAGAGCCCCAGGCUUGUAAAUUGUAUCCCCUCUAAGCCUGAGACGCAUUGUCAACCUCAUCCUAACCCUCCAUGGCCUCCCCAACUCAGGU